rnacentral:rRNA from 1 species
AAAGUUCCCUUCGGGGAACAAGUAGAGUGGCGCACGGGUGAGUAACACGUAGGUAAUCUACCUUCGGAUGGGGAAUAACAACCGGAAACGGUUGCUAAUACCGCAUAAUGCAGCGGCACCUAAUGGUGACAGUUGUUAAAGCGGGGGAUCGCAAGACCUCGCGUCUGAAGAGGAGCCUGCGGCGGAUUAGCUUGUUGGUGAGGUAAAAGCUCACCAAGGCGAUGAUCCGUAGCCGGCCUGAGAGGGCGGUCGGCCACACUGACACUGACAUACGGGUCAGACUCCUACGGGAGGCAGCAGUCGGGAAUUUUGGGCAAUGGGCGAAAGCCUGACCCAGCAACGCCGCGUGAAGGAUGAAAUCCCUCGGGAUGUAAACUUCGCAAGAACGGGAAGAAUAAGCGAAAGUUAAUAUCUUUCGUGAUGACGGUACCGUUUGUAAGCUCCGGCUAACUCCGUGCCAGCAGCCGCGGUAAUACGGGGGGAGCAAGCGUUGUUCGGAUUUACUGGGCGUAAAGGGCGCGUAGGCGGCCACCGCAAGUCGAUUGUGAAAUCUCCGGGCUUAACCCGGAAAGGUCAACCGAUACUGCGGGGCUAGAGUGCGGAAGGGGCAACUGGAAUUCUUGGUGUAGCGGUGAAAUGCGUAGAUAUCAAGAGGAACACCUGGCGGCGAAGCGGGUUGCUGGGCCGACACUGACGCUGAUGCGCGAAAGCUAGGGGAGCGAACGGGAUUAGAUACCCCGGUAGUCCUAGCCUUAAACGAUGAAUGCUUGGUGUCU